GCUUGCGUCAUCCAGUGGUUAGGAUAUGCGGUUUUCAUCCGCACAACGGGAGUUCGAUUCUCCCCGUAAGUACCA
rnacentral:tRNA from 1 species